rnacentral:tRNA from 1 species
GCCCCUGUGGUGGAAUUGGUAGACGCGCCGGAUUCAAAAUCCGGUGCCGCGAGGCGUGUCGGUUCGAGUCCGACCGGGGGCA